rnacentral:lncRNA from 1 species
UGCCCCGGGGCCUGAGGAGGUCUGGGCUCUGGGCCUCUGUCAGGGCUGUGAGGGGGAACGUGCUGGUGGUCCUGGGAUUGGGAAGGCUGCUGAGACCUAGCUAGAAGUGCAGAGAAAACAGCCGGGCUCUGCUUCUAACUGCUGCAUGACCUUGGGCAAUCAAUGAACCUCCCUGGAGCUCUAUUUCCCCUGCUGUGAAACGUGGGCGGCUUCAGGAUGGCAUAGAGAAGGAGCAUGGGGCUAGGAGUCAAAGGAUCCAGGGCUUAAAUACCUCUCCAUGUCUUACUAGCUGUGAGCUGGUAGUCAGGUCACUUGUUAUCUCUGGCCUCAGUGUCCUUAUCUGCAAAAGAAGACAGUAAUCUCCGUGCAUUGCUAUGGAAAUGAAACCCAGAGAGAAGGAAAACAGGGUGAAGAACGGUGCUGUUUCUCUGGAACGUUCAGGUGGUCCAGGAGGCAAUGCCAGGCCUUUGCACCUUCCUUCCUCCGAAUAGAGGCUCCCUCCAGAGAAGAACCCAACUUCCUUGUAGGACGGCAUGAAGCACAGAUUCCUGGUGCUUGGACUGCUGGGUCCUCCUGCACUCCCAGUCCCCUGCCCAAGCUUCCUCCCCAUGCCAGUGAGGAGAGAUGCAGUAUAUACCACUGGCAAAGGGGCAAGGGAAUGGCCAGCAUGAGCCAGACACCAUCUUUGGUGUGUUAUAUCGUUAAUCUCAUUUGAUGCUGAUGGUACCACUGUGAUGGAUAUUAGUCACUGUGUUUUAACAGAGAAGGAAACUGCGUCUUGAAGAGAUGAAGUGAUUUGCCUGAGGUCACCCAGUGAGUGUCCAAGCUGACAUUCAGUCUCACAUUCAUACUCUUUCCAGCAUUUUAAGAUGGCCUGGCUUCCCAAGAGGGCAGACCUACAGAGGCAGGGGAGGGGUGAGAAGGCGAUGUUGAUCCUGGGAUCAGAGAGGGAUUCUGCAUCAUUUUCAAGCAUUCAGCUGGAAGAGCAGGACAUCCUGGUCCUCAGGCAGGACACCGGAUACUGCUCCGUGGCCUCCUGGAGGUAUCAUGCUUUGUUGUGCAUUUGUUUGUCUUCUUUGAUCAACUCUAUACUCCAUGCAGGCAAGAACCUUGUCUGGCUCUUGCACUGGCUCCCAGGACGAAGCACGGGGCCCGGCACCUGGAUGAGUAA